rnacentral:rRNA from 1 species
UACGUAGGGGGCAAGCGUUGUCCGGAUUUACUGGGCGUAAAGGGCGCGUAGGCGGCCCGCUAAGUCGAACGUGAAAUCCCCGAGCUCAACUCGGGAACUGCGUCCGAUACUGGCGGGCUUGAAUCCGGGAGAGGGAUGCGGAAUUCCAGGUGUAGCGGUGAAAUGCGUAGAUAUCUGGAGGAACACCGGUGGCGAAGGCGGCAUCCUGGACCGGCAUUGACGCUGAGGCGCGAAAGCUAGGGGAGCAAACGGG